CUGCUCAAAACAAAUGGCGACACACAUUGCGAGGUAGGGUUGGGUUAACGGCUAACGGGCCCAUUAGGCCAUUACCAUGUUAAAGGAGUGCCAUAAAUAACGUCAACAAUUCGUGCAGUACAAAACUAGAAUGUGACAUCUCGUUGUGGAGAAAUUGACGGCGGUGAAGAAAUUAAUGAUAGGGAAGACCGUAAGACGUGAUUUUACUCGAGCAGCCCCAUCGAUUCCAACAGUUGCUUGAAAAUUUGGCCAAGACCGAAUUUGGAAAACCCCUUUUGUCAAAAGCAAUACAAUUUGAGGCAGAUGGUUCUCACGGUUCAGUUGACAAACGAGCAUUAGGCAAAAACAAAUCCUUUCUGGAUCUUGAUGAAGAAGUGGAGCCCUAGAGAUACCUUUGAGAAAUCAAAGUUGAGAAAGAAGAGAACAAACUUAUUCCACACCCUGCAAGACUGUCAUGUUGAUUUACAGGGAAUGUUCUGGCGGAUUCCCCAUCAAAUAGAAAUAGUCAUGAUGUAAAGGAAUUACCCAUUCAUGUCAACAAACAGACCGUCUUCGUCACACCUGAAUAAGAGUGAAAGCAAUAAGUCCGAAGUCGUACAAGAUUUCCAUCGUGGCCCCAAUUCGUCGGCUUGGAUUUAACCAUUUAUCAAACCUCUCUUCAAAAGAAUGUCGGUUUUUUGGUAUUCAUUUUGAUAUUGGUUGUUGUAGACCCAUUCCCCAGAUGUAUUCCCAUUCCCCAGCAACGUAAACCUGCAGAAGGAAAGGCCAGUUUUCAUGGCCUUCAUACUCGAAGGUCACGGAGAUUCAUUACGUUAAAAGUGUCAUAGUGUAGAGGUUGGGUGAGAACGGGAUGUGUUU